rnacentral:rRNA from 1 species
UACGUAGGGUGCAAGCGUUGUCCGGAAUUAUUGGGCGUAAAGAGCUCGUAGGCGGUUUGUCGCGUCUGCUGUGAAAACCCGAGGCUCAACCUCGGGCCUGCAGUGGGUACGGGCAGACUAGAGUGCGGUAGGGGAGAUUGGAAUUCCUGGUGUAGCGGUGGAAUGCGCAGAUAUCAGGAGGAACACCAAUGGCGAAGGCAGGUCUCUGGGCCGAUACUGACGCUGAGGCACGAAAGCGUGGGGAGCAAACAGG